AACGAACGCUGGCGGCAGGCCUAACACAUGCAAGUCGAGCGCUGUAGCAAUACAGAGCGGCAGACGGGUGAGUAACGCGUGGGAAUCUUCCCAGUGGUACGGAAUAGCUCAGGGAAACUUGGGGGUAAUACCGUAUAAGCCCUUCGGGGAAGAUUAUUGCAUGAUGAGCCGCGUUGGAUUAGCUAGUUGGUGGGUAACGGCCCACCAAGGCGACGAUCCAUAGCUGGUCNGAGAGGAUGAUCAGCCACACUGGGACUGAGACACGGCCCAGACUCCUACGGGAGGCAGCAGUAGGGAAUCUUGCGCAAUGGGCGAAAGCCUGACGCAGCCAUGCCGCGUGAAUGAUGAAGGUC
rnacentral:rRNA from 1 species